GUGCCAGCAGCGGCGGUAAUACGGAGGGUAGACAAAGCGUUAAUCGGAAUUACUGGGCGUAAAGCGCACGCAGGCGGUCUGUCAAGUCGGAUGUGAAAUCCCCGGGCUCAACCUGGGAACUGCAUUCGAAACUGGCAGGCUGGAGUCUUGUAGAGGGGGGUAGAAUUCCAGGUGUAGCGGUGAAAUGCGUAGAGAUCUGGAGGAUACCGGUGGCGAAGGCGGCCCCUGGACAAAGACUGACGCUCAGGUGCGAAAGCGUGGGGAGCAAACAGGAUUAGAUACCCUGGUAGUCCACGCCGUAAACGAUGUCGAUUUGGAGGUUGUGGCCCUUGAGCGUGGCUUCCGGAGCUAACGCGUUAAAUCGACCGCCUGGGAGUACGGCCG
rnacentral:rRNA from 1 species